UACCAGCACCCCGAGUGGUCUGGACGAUUAUUGGGCCUAAAGCCUCCGUAGCCGGUCAUGCAAGUCUUCCGUUAAAUCCAGCCGCUCAACGGUUGGGCUGCGGAGGAUACUACGUGGCUAGGAGGCGGGAGAGGCAAGCGGUACUCAGUGGGUAGGGGUAAAAUCCUUUGAUCCAUUGAAGACCACCAGUGGCGAAGGCGGCUUGCCAGAACGCGCUCGACGGUGAGGGAUGAAAGCUGGGGGAGCAAACCGG
rnacentral:rRNA from 1 species